rnacentral:rRNA from 1 species
UGAGGAAUAUUGGACAAUGGGCGCAAGCCUGAUCCAGCCAUGCCGCGUGCAGGAUGACGGUCCUAUGGAUUGUAAACUGCUUUUGUACAGGAAGAAACAGUUCUACGUGUAGAACCUUGACGGUACUGUAAGAAUAAGGAUCGGCUAACUCCGUGCCAGCAGCCGCGGUAAUACGGAGGAUCCAAGCGUUAUCCGGAAUCAUUGGGUUUAAAGGGUCCGUAGGCGGUUAGAUAAGUCAGUGGUGAAAGCCCAUCGCUCAACGGUGGAACGGCCAUUGAUACUGUCUGACUUGAAUUAUUAGGAAGUAACUAGAAUAUGUAGUGUAGCGGUGAAAUGCUUAGAGAUUACAUGGAAUACCAAUUGCGAAGGCAGGUUACUACUAAUGGAUUGACGCUGAUGGACGAAAGCGUGGUAGCGAACAGGAUUAGAUACCCCCGUAGUCCCUGAGCGGGCUGGCAAGGCGCAU